rnacentral:rRNA from 1 species
GACGAACGCUGGCGGCGUGCUUAACACAUGCCAGUCGUACGGUAAGGCCCUUUCGGGGGUACACGAGUGGCGAACGGGUGAGUAACACGUGAGUAACCUGCCCACAACUUUGGGAUAACGCUAGGAAACUGGUGCUAAUACUGGAUAUGUGCUCCUGCUGCAUGGUGGGGGUUGGAAAGCUCCGGCGGUUGUGGAUGGACUCGCGGCCUAUCAGCUUGUUGGUGGGGUAGUGGCCUACCAAGGCGGCGACGGGUAGCCGGCCUGAGAGGGUGACCGGCCACAUUGGGACUGAGAUACGGCCCAGACUCCUACGGGAGGCAGCAGGGGGGAAUAUUGAACAAUGGGCGCAAGCCGGAUGCAGCAACGCCGCGUGCGGGAUGACGGCCUUCGGGUUGGAAACCGCUUUCAGCAGGGACGAAGCUUUUUGUGACGGUACCUGCAGAAGAAGCACCGGCUAACUACGUG